UACGGAGGGUCCAAGCGUUAUCCGGAAUCAUUGGGGUUAAAGGGUCCGUAGGCGGUUUAAUAAGUCAGUGGUGAAAGCCCAUCGCUCAACGAUGGAACGGCCAUUGAUACUGUUAAACUUGAAUUAUUAGGAAGUAACUAGAAUAUGUAGUGUAGCGGUGAAAUGCUUAGAGAUUACAUGGAAUACCAAUUGCGAAGGCAGGUUACUACUAAUAUAUUGACGCUGAUGGACGAAAGCGUGGGGAGCGAACAGG
rnacentral:rRNA from 1 species